rnacentral:lncRNA from 1 species
CUCAGACAAAGAAGUUGUUUUGGUUUCAUUUAUUUUGUUUAAAUACACAAAGACUCUGGCUCCUUAUUUAUGCAAAGCCUCAGGGUCACACAAGAUAUCCAUCAGGCUGGAUGCGGCUCUGUGCAGCCUGCUUUAGUGCUUGGCAACCCUGCCCAGAACAGAGGGGCUGAAAUUACAUGACCUUUAGGGUCCUUUUCAUGAGUCUCUUACAUGUUGGUAAUUGAGUACAACAGGAUGAAAAACAGCAUUUCUUUGUGGAAAACAUUAUCACACAGGGAAAAAGAAAAACAAAACCAAACAAAUCCCUCCAGAAGUUAAGACAGGCUUUCCAUGUCUUUACAUAAACAGUAAUUCAUCUGAAGAAGGAAAGAAGCAGUUCAUAGCUGCGGAAAGGCACAAUGAGUUUCCUCAGCAUAUCCUGAAAAACAUCUAUGACAUCACUUUCCUAAUGCCAUUCUUGAGCUCCUGGUUUCUAAUGCUGUAGAUGAGGGGGUUCAUUGCUGGGGGCAUCACCGAGUACAGGAAAGACAUCACCAGGUUCAGGGAUGGGGAGGAGAUGGAAGGGGGCUUCAGAUAGGCAAACAUGGCAGUGCUGAGAAACAGAAAGACCACAGCCAGGUGAGGGAGGCAUGUGGAGAAGAGUUUGUGGCGUCCCUGCUCAGAGGGCAUCCUCAGCACAGCCAUGAAAAUCUGUACAUAGGAGAAAAGAAUGAAAGCAAAACACCCCCAGAACAGAAAACAACUAACUGAGAGAAGCCCAAUUUCCCUGAGGUAGGAGUGUGAGCAGGAGAGCUUGAGGAUCUGGGGGAUUUCACAGAAGAACUGAUUCACAGCAUUGCCUUGGCAGAGGGGCAGUGAAAAUGUAUUGGCAGUGUGCAGCAGAGCAUAGAGAACCCCACUGCCCCAGGCAGCUGCUGCCAUCUGGGCACAAGCUCUCCUGUCCAGGAGGGUCCCGUAGUGCAGGGGCUUGCAGAUGGCAACGUAGCGGUCAUAGGCCAUGAUGGUGAGAAGGAAAUACUCUGCUCCAAUCAAGAAAACAAAAAAGAAGACCUGAGCAACACACCCUGCAUAGGAAAUGACCCUGGUAUCCCAGAGGGAAUUGGCCAUGGCUUUGGGGACAGUGGUGGAGAUGCAGCCCAGGUCGAGGAGGGCGAGGUUGAGGAGGAAGAAGUACAUGGGGGUGUGGAGGUGGUGGUCACAGGCUACGGCAGUGAGGAUGAGGCCGUUGCCCAGGAGGGCAGCCAGGUAGAUGCCCAGGAAGAGCGCGAGGGCGAGGUUGAGGAGGAAGAAGUACAUGGGGGUGUGGAGGCGGUGGUCACAGGCUACGGCAGUGAGGAUGAGGCCAUUGCCCAGGAGGGCAGCCAGGUAGAUGCCCAGGAAGAGCGUGAAGUGCAGGAGCUGCAGCUCCCGUGUGUCUGCAAAUGGCAGGAGGAGGAACUCGGUGAUGGAGCUGCUGUUGGACAUUUGAUUCCUCUGGGCAUGGGGACCUGUCUGAGGAGGGAAAUACAGCAAAAUAUUAGGCUCAGCCCUGUGAGCAAAACCUACUCUGUUUCUUGUUAAACCUCAGAAAUGCUGCUUCCCUUUCAGGAAAACCUCUGCUGCACGUUCCUUGGUAGAGCUCUGGUUUUUGCUACCAGAGGGUGCCACUGGGAGCAAGGGACUCUGGAAGUCCUUGGCAUUACUGCUGCACUCAAGUGAAAUCUUGCCUGAGAGGCAAGGGCUCUGUCCCUUAGAGCAGAGUAAGGGCAGCUAUCCUGUCCCAAAGUCCUGGUCACAGCUGCCCUGGACUGGCACCGCUUUGAGCUCAAAGAUACCAUCAUACCCAGGUGUUCCCUUAGAGAAGAGCCUGCACACUG